rnacentral:rRNA from 1 species
AGCGAACGCUGGCGGCAUGCUUAACACAUGCAAGUCGCACGGGCAGGGGCAACCCUGUCAGUGGCGGACGGGUGAGUAACGCGUAGGGAUCUAUCUCCGGGUGGGGGACAACCGUGGGAAACUACGGCUAAUACCGCAUGACACCUGAGGGUCAAAGCUUGUGAGAGCGCCUGGAGAGGAACCUGCGUACGAUUAGCUAGUUGGUGGGGUAAAGGCCUACCAAGGCGACGACGUUAGCUGGUCUGAGAGGAUGAUCAGCCACAUUGGGACUGAGACACGGCCCAAACUCCUACGGGAGGCAGCAGUGGGGAAUAUUGGACAAUGGGCGCAAGCCUGAUCCAGCAAUGCCGCGUGUGUGAAGAAGGUCUUCGGAUUGUAAAGCACCUUCGACGGGGACGAUGAUGACGGUACCCGUAGAAGAAGCCCC